rnacentral:lncRNA from 1 species
CUGAACCUCAUAACCUCAUGUUUCCUCUUUCUGGCAUCCAAAAGGUGAUGAAAGACACCUCCAGGCCAAAUUUACCAGAGUGUCCAGCUGCAAAGAGAAAGAGAAAGGUAAUAGAUAAAACUCUGUAUGUGGAUGAAUUCCAAGAGCAAUAGAGUUCUACAAGAAAUUGUUUCCCCUGGGACCUUUCUGCUAAAUCUUCAUGGACUGCUGCAGUGGUUCAGUUUUGUGUUGGGAUUUGUCUGGGUCUCUCAAGAGGAAGAAAGGGAUAGGAAGAUGGAAAGAACUUUAAUAAGGAGCACUAGAUCGCAGCAUGGAGGAGAUAGUUCUAGAUCUUCAAUGGCACAGGUGGGUAAAUAUUGAUUAAAAUAGUUGACGAUAUAUUUCAAAA